GUUAAACCUCACAGAAGAAGAAGUAAACAUUACUUUUCGAGGGCCGAGAAGACAGUGGAUCCAGCGUCCAAGGAUGCCAACCUCGUGCUGCAGAGUAGACUGGACUUAUCUGACUGCUGACCUCUACAUGGAUAGUCUGAGGUGUUACAAAUCCCUUUGGCCCGACAAUCUAGGGGGGAUGGUAAUGGGACCCGUAACAUAACUCAUGCAAAUUAUAGUAGUGACAAAGAGUGAGAACGAAAUAACCACGACAACUAAUAUCUACCGUCAAACACUCAAGGUUUAUUUAUAAACACA